rnacentral:rRNA from 1 species
CCUACGGGUGGCAGCAGUGGGGGAUAUUGCACAAUGGGGGAAACUCUGAUGCAGCGACGCCGCGUGUGGGAAGACGGUCCUCUGGAUUGUAAACUACUGUCCCCAGGGACGAAGAUGACGGUACCUGGCGAGGAAGCUCCGGCUAACUACGUGCCAGCAGCCGCGGUAAUACGUGGGGAGCGAGCGUUGUCCGGAAUUACUGGGUGAAAAGGGAGCGUAGGCGGGACUGCAAGUUGGGUGUCAAAUCUACCGGCUCAACCGGUAGCCGCACUUAAAACUGCAGUUCUUGAGUGAAGUAGGGGCAGGCGGAAUUCCUGGUGUAGCGGUGAAAUGCGUAGAUAUUAGGAGGAACACCAGUGGCGAAGGCGGGCUGCUGGGCUUUUACUGACGCUGAGGCUCGAAAGUGUGGGGAGCAAACAGGAUUAGAUACCCUUGUAGUC